rnacentral:misc_RNA from 1 species
UAGUAAUAACAUAUAAAAAAAUAGGCUUGAUGGUUAAAAAAAGCCCAAACUUUAUGAGUUUUAUCAAUUAUAGCCAUUUUUUUUUUUAUCAAUUUUAGCCUAAUUUAAAACUUUCGUAUUAUUGUGGCCCAAGUCCCAAAUUGGGUAAAGUGAAUGGUGAUGUGGUGGUUGACGUGGUAAAAAUAUUAAUAUUUUAUGUGUUAUUGCUGACGUAAUAGCUGAUGUGACAUGAACUUUAAUUUUUUGCGGAAGAAAACUCAAAUUAGCGCCCCAACUUUUCCUCAAAGUCCAAAUAAGUCCAAUUUAAAAUUUUUGGUCAAAUAAAUCCUUCAACUUUUCAUUUAAGCUCAUAGAA